AGUUCUCGUCCUGUAAAAGGGCCCGGCUCUGGCACGUCAGUGCAUCUGCGUCUGCCGCCCUUUCUCUCUCGAACGCUUCCUGUACCUAUCGCUCCCUGUCCUUCCCUGUCCCAAAUAAGUAGCUGUGACUAGUACUACGAGAGCCCCUCCCUUGAGGCGCUCAGCCCACAAACCGAGAAGCGCGAACUUCCCGGGCCUCAUCUGCCAAGAGGGGAAUCCUUACUUGCCUUGUGAGUAAGAUUUUUGCCAUGUGGUCUUCUCUUACAAAACCGCAGCCACGGCCCUCUGAGUUAAGCUGGACAGGAUUUGUCCUCAUCUUACAGAGGAAGAACUGAGAACCAGAAGUUGAAUAUAACGUUUUAACACGUGUAGUCUCGUGUAAUCUUUCCUAAAGCCCUGUGAAUUGGACCCUGCUGUCAGAGAUGAGUAAGUGUGCCCACAUGUUCAUUGGAGGGGUUGGUCAAGCUGGCCCAGGGGGGCCCUGGAGAAAGACCCUGGGUGUGCAGACUAAUUUCUCAUUCAUAUCCAGGUACAGUUCUCUAGAAUCUCCUCUCAGGAAUCUGCUGACUUCACCAACCCUGCUGACCUCUCUUGUCCUCCUGCUGUCCCAGCCUGGAAUCCACCCAGUCCUAUGCCCUCUCUUCCCUGUAGCCCAAUCAUCAUGAGCCCAGCCCCUCGACCCUGGGGGACCAGGAAUGAGUCCAGCUGUCAAGAGGAUCCACCUACUACCUGGGCAGAGGGACACAUUUCCUCUAAGGGGAACAGAGGCACCACCUGGCCCGGAUAAGAAAUCUGAGGCCCAAGUGGCAGUGCUGACUGACCUCCAGCUCCUAUGACACCAGACCAGUGCUUUCUCCAUAACCCAUCAGGAACACACCUCCUUCCCCUGCAGAACUCCAGCCUCCGGAGUCAGGACCCUCUCGCUUCAGCUCAGGGAGGCCCUCCACCCCUCCCAUAAGCUCUGGCACCUACAGGGUACCAAUCUACGUUGUUAGAAUGGCUGGAAAAGGCAAGGCGCAUGGAUAUUAUCCUAUCGCUGAGAGCAUUGUACUUCAGGAUAGAUCAUGAAACGUUCUUUUUGACCAUGAAUGAAUGUGUCAUUUCUGGCAUAGUAGACUAUAUGAUUGCCCGAUUCGAAAUGGCCAGUACUAGCCCAUUUCAGCUCACUAAUGCCUAGGAUAUCAAUCUUUAAGCAUUCCAUUUCAUUUUUGACAACUUCCAGUUUUCCUUGAUUCAUACUUCAUACAUUCCAUGUUCCAAUUAUUAAUGGAUGUUUGCAGCUAUUUCUUCUCAUUUUGUGUCAUGCCACAUCAGCAAAUGAAGGUCUUGAAAGCUUUACUCCAUCCAGUACAGUCAUUAAGGUCGACUCCACUUUGAAGAGGCCGUUCUUCCCCAAUUGUAUUUUGAGUGCCUUUUCCAACCUGAGGGGCUCAUCUUCUGGCACUAUAUCAGACAAUGUUCUGCUCCUAUCCAUAAGGUUUUCACUGGCCAAUCUUUUCAGAAGUAGACCUCCAGGUCCUUCCUAGUCUGUCUUAGUCUAGAAGCUUCACUGAAAUCUGAAGAGUUCAAAGAGUGGCUCAAGAAGACAAAGUAAAGUAUUAUAAUGACAUAUGCAAAGACCUGAAGUUAGAAAACCAAAAGGGAAGAAUACGCUCAGCAUUUCUCAAGCUGAAAGAACUGAAGAAAAAAUUCAAAACUCGAGUUGCAAUAUUGAAGGAUUCUAUGGGCAAAAAAAUUGAAUGAUGCAGGAAGCAUCAAAAGAAGAUGGAAGGGGUACACAGAGUCACUGUACCAAAAAGAAUUGGUUGACGUUCAACUAUUUCAAGAGGUAGCAUAUGAUCAAGAACCAAUGGUACUGAAGGAAGAAGUCCAAGCUGCACUGAAAGAAGGCAUUGGCAAAGAACGAGGCUCUGGGAAUUGACGGAAUAGCAAUUGAGAUGUUUCAGCAAACUGGAAGCAGCACUGUGAGUGCUCACCCGUCUCUGCCAAGAAAUUUGGAAAAGAGCUACCUGACCAAUGAACUGGAAGAGAUCCAUAUCUGUGUGCAUUCCAAAGAAAGGUGAUCCAAUGGAAUACAGAAAUUAUUGAACAAUAUCAUUAAUAUCACAUGCAAGUAAAAUGCUGAAGAUAAUUGCAAAAACCAACGUGAGGGCACUGUCUGACCUCCUCUAAUUUCACAAGAGGGAAGGAGAAUCAAGAUCAAUAGCCCAAGGCUGAUUCCCAUGAGGUGAACAUCAGACAUGCCUCCUCUCUCCUCCAUCUUCACCAAUUCUGACACCGGCCAUCCUUCCCACAGCACUCUCUACUUCUCUGUUGGGUUUGAAAAUUCAUUGCAAUGGCCACACAGAACUCACAGAUCAUACUCAUGAUUACGGGGUAUGUUAGAGAAGUAACAGUUACAGUUCAGGCUCGGGAAUACUCAGGAUACGGUUCUUCCAUCAAGACAGCCUCUUCCCAGCCGUGCUCACCGGCAUGCCUCUCCCUGGCCCUCAGCCUCUGCCCAAAGGCAUUCAGCUUUCUCUCUCUGUGGGCCUGGAAACCCACCAUGCCAUCUCCUGCUACUAGGUCUCUGCCACUGCUUCUCACCAUCUUUAGUGCUACAGCUUUCUCUCUCUCUGUGUCUUUGCUCUAGGAGCAUCUCAGCACAGGGACCCUGGGUCCAAAGGAUGUCCUCUCUGCUCCUGGCUGUUUUUCCUUGGUGGUGGUGGGAUCCUCUGUUUCCCACCUCUGGGGUUACUCAUUUCAAGCCCAGCGGGAUGGCAAAACUGACCAGUCCUUUGGUGGGCCACAAUUGCCCUAUCUGCACAAUCCAGCCUAACCACCUGGGUGGGAGUUAUAAGACCAUGGCCAGGAAGGCCACACAAAAGCGAUCCAUCACACUGCGAUAAUUCAAAAACAGUUGCAGCCGUACAUCAACAGGGAGCUGCCGGAAAUUCAAACUGUAUUCAGAAGAGGAUGUGGAAUGAGAGAUAUCAUUGCUGAUGUCAGAUGGAUCUUGGCUGAAGGCAGAGAAUACCAGAAACGUGUUUACCUGUGUUUUGUUGACUAUGCAAAGAUAUUCAACUGUGUGGAUCAUAACAAAUUAUGGAUAACAUUGCAAAAAGUGGGAAUUCAAGGACACUUAAUUGUGCUCAGGGCUGCAUUACCCAAUAAGCAAGGUAUACCUGGGCCCAAUUUUUCCUUCCCACCAAUCUGAAGUGCACAAUUUCGCCUGUCCCCUACCAUGUCAAUGAUGUGGUGAAAACCAUGUGAAAUUGCUCACCACAGAUUAGCAUGUAAAUAUCUUGCUCAAUGUAAACCAGCGCAUACCUUGCUUACUGGUUAAUCCACCCCUGAUUUUGUGCUCAUGCAGAACCUGUACAUAGACCAAGAGGCGGUCCUUCAAACAGAACAAGGGGAUAUUGCAUAAUUUAAGUCAGGAAGGAUGUGCGUGGGGUUGGAUCCUUUCACUGUACCUAUUCAAUCUGUAUGCUGAGCAAAUAAUCUGAGAAGCUGAACUGUGAGAAGAAGAACGCUGCGUCAGGAUUGGAGGAAGACAUUAACAACCUGUAUUAUGCAGAUGACACAACCUUGGACUUGAAGCACUUAAUGAAGAAGUUCAAAGAUAUAGCCUUCAGUAUGGAUUACACCUCAAUAUAAGGAAAACAAAAAUCCUCACAACCAGACCAAUAAGCAACAUCAUGAUAAAUGGAGAAAAUAUUGAAGUUGUCAAGGAUUUCAUUUUAUUUGGACCCACAAUCAACAUCCGUGGAAGCAGAAGUCAAAAAAUCAUACACUGUGUUGCAAUGGGCACAUCUGCUGAAAAAAAACCUCUUCUAAGUACUAAAAAGCAAAGAUGUCACCUUGAGGACUAAGGUGCGCCUAACCCAAAGAAUGGUAUUUUCAAUCACCUCAUAUGUAUUCAAAAGCUGGACAAUGAAUAAGGAAGACCAAAGAAGAAUUGAAGUCUCUGAGUUAUGGUGUUGGCAAAGAACACUGAAUAUACCAUGGACUUCCAGAAGAACGAACAAACCUGUCUGGGAAGAAGUACAGCCAGAAUGCUCCUUAGAAGAGAAGAUAGGGUAACUUCAUCUUGCUUGCUUUGGACAUAUUGUCAGGAGGGACCAGUCCCUGGAAAAGGACAUUGUCAUGGAUUGAAUUGUGUCCCCCAAAUAUGUGCGUAUCAAUUUGGCUAGGCUAUGAUUCCCAGCUAAUGAUUCCCAGUAUUGUGUGAUUGUCCACUAUUCUGUCAUCCAAUGUGAUUUUCCUGUGUGUUGGAAAUCCUACCUCUAUGAUGUUAAUGAGGUGGGAUAGGUGGCAGUUAUGUUAAUGAGGCAGGGCUCGAUCUAUAAGACUGGAUUGUGUCUUCAGCCAAUCUCUUUUGAGAUAUAAGAGAGAGAAGAGAGCAGAGGGACAGGGGAACUUCAUACCACGAAGAAAGCAGCACCAGGAGCAGAGUGCUUCCUUUGGAUCUGGGGUUCCUGUGUGGAGAAGCUCCUAGUCCAGGGGAAGGUUAAUGACAAGGACUUUCCUCCAGAGCCAGCAGAGAAAGCCUUCCUCUGGGGCUGAUGCCUUAAUUUGGACUUCUAGCCUACCAGACUGUGAGCGAAUAAACUUCUGUUUGUUAAAGCCAUCCACCUGUGCUAUUUCUAUUACAGCAACACUAGAUGACUAAGAGAGACAUCAUGCUUGGUACAGUGUCAGGCAAAAAGAGGAAGACCCUCAGGGAGAUAGAUUCAUAUAGAGGCUGCAACAAUGGGCUCAAACAUAGCAAUGAUUGUGAGGAUGGCGCAGGACCGACCAGUGUUUCAUUCUGUUGUGCUUAGGGUCGAUAUGGGUCAGAAGUGACUCAAUGGCACCUAACAACUAACAGGAAGCAGAUGACCUCUUUGGUUAGGGGCAGGGAUCUGGAAGGCUCCAUAUGGAGGAGGACAAUUUACCUGGGGCCCGGUAAGAAUGCUACCAGCUCAAUUAGAAGUACAUUUCAGGGCAAAGCACAGCCUGGGCUUGAUGUGGCAGUGUGUGGGAGGAUGGUGGGUCAACUGGCAGGGGUAUCCUGGUGCCCCACAGCCUCUCACUACCCAAGGAGCACCUGGGGCGGAGGCUGCUGGCUGUGUGCUCAGGCUCUGCUGGUCCAACUAGCCCAACCACUUCUCUCCAGGCACUGCCCACUGCCAAGAGUAGUUGGCAAACUGUGAGUGAAGUCUGGUCAGGGGCCUAGGAUCCCUCCAUUCCAGUCCCAGAACAAAAGAAUUAAGCGGUCCAGAUCCCCAGGCUGCCCUGCUCAGUUUCCGAAUGCCCCAUAGCCACGUGCUCCAGAAAGCCUGCCCUGAUCGCAUCCUCCCAACAGAACAAUUUCUAAGAUGCAAUGACAGUGUGGAGGGUAGGUGUGCCUGGGCAGCAUAUGCACGAGAGAGAGAGAGAGAGAAAUUAUGGGUGCAAUUAUAGAUUUCUACUUCUGUAAACCUGCCUUUAAUUUUCCUUAUUUGCUGUAAUGGAACUGGAAAUAUAUUACUUUUUCAUCAGAACAGCUUCCUCUCAUCUCCUAUCCACGCUUCCUUGUUCUCGAGGUCUUUUCAGAGGCUCCAAGUUGAGGAACAGGCUAGGUCGAGGUGGUAAAUGAUCCUUGCAUCGGUUGCGGCAUCCAUAAAAUGGGUGUGCUCGGGUCUUCCUCACUUUCUUGGUCGAACCAGUGUCAGGGGAAGCUGCCGCCUGGCACCCGAGCCCAGAUGGCGGCACCUCUCCAACCGCCAGGUGGCUGCCGGGCCCCGGAAUAGAGCCGGGUCG